AUAAAUAAGAAGGAUAAG
rnacentral:tRNA from 1 species